rnacentral:rRNA from 1 species
CUACGGGAGGCUGCAGUGGGGAAUAUUGCACAAUGGGCGCAAGCCUGAUGCAGCCAUGCCGCGUGUGUGAAGAAGGCCUUAGGGUUGUAAAGCACUUUCAGUAAGGAGGAAAGGUUAGUAGUUAAUACCUGCUAGCUGUGACGUUACUUACAGAAGAAGCACCGGCUAACUCCGUGCCAGCAGCCGCGGUAAUACGGAGGGUGCGAGCGUUAAUCGGAAUUACUGGGCGUAAAGCGUACGCAGGCGGUUUGUUAAGCGAGAUGUGAAAGCCCCGGGCUCAACCUGGGAACUGCAUUUCGAACUGGCAAACUAGAGUAUGAUAGAGGGUGGUAGAAUUUCAGGUGUAGCGGUGAAAUGCGUAGAGAUCUGAAGGAAUACCGAUGGCGAAGGCAGCCACCUGGGUCAAUACUGACGCUCAUGUACGAAAGCGUGGGGAGCAAACGGGAUUAGAUACCCCAGUAGUC